GGCACAUACGGGCUCAUACUAAUCUUCCAGGACCCUUAGUUUCUGGUAAUGACAAGAUUGAUAAAUUAGUAGCUUUUUGUCAACAGAUGUCUUCAUAUGACUGUGCACUAGCUUCCCAUUCCUUGCAUCAUCAAAAUGCUUCUAGCUUACGUAAAAAAUUUAAUAUUACUAGAGAACAAGCUCGUCAGAUUGUAAGCCAAUGCCCUAAGUGUGUUAUUCACACUCCAUCUCUGCCAUCAGGGGUAAAUCCCCGUGGAUUAAAACCAAAUCAAAUAUGGCAAAUGGAUGUAACUCAUAUUCCUCAAUUUGGUAAGCAAUGUUAUGUGCAUGUCAUAGUGGACACUUAUUCUAGAUUUAUUUUUGCCACAGCACGUACUAAGGAAAAUACUCAACAUGUAAUUUCUCAUUGCUUAGCAGCUUUUUCUGUUUUAGGGUGCCCUAUGCAGAUUAAAACAGAUAAUGCUCCAGCUUAUGUAAGCUCUUCUUUUCAACAAUUUUGCCAAGAGUUUAAAAUUAAUCAUAAAACAGGAAUUCCUUAUAACCCUCAAGGCCAAGCCAUUGUGGAACGAGCUCAUUUAUCUAUUAAGCUUCAAUUACAAAAAUUAAAGGGGGGGAAUAGGUUUAUGACUCCCCAAAAUAGCCUUAAUCAUGCCUUGUUCGUUUUAAAUUUUUUAAACUGUGACGCAGAAGGUCACACUGCUGCUGAGAGACAAAUGUCUCCCUCAGUAACAGGCCCUUUAGGCAGAAUUUUGUGGAAAGAUUUACAGACUGGUCAGUGGAAGGGUCCAGACCCAGUGAUAAUGUGGGGUAGAGGUCAUGCUUGUAUUUUCCCAGAAGGCGCAUUUCGUCCUAUUUGGGUACCUGAACGUGCUAUCAGACAUGGAAGAGACUGAGGAUUGACCAGGAGGAGCCCCUAUCCAGAAGGAGGAGAUAUCGGAAAAGGAUGAAGAAAGACCAGAUUGACCCAGCCGAAAAGCUGAUUUCAUGGGAAGACUUGAAGAAGCUAACAACCCAGGCUUCCCGAAUACUUCGACACCUAGGAGAGAACAGGACCCCAGUGAUGAUGGUAGCAAUAGUAAUUGCCUGUUGGGCUGUCAGGUAAAGGGGGAUCAAGUAGACACUUACUGGACAUAUUUCCCAGAUCCACCCCUGGUACACCCAGCUGUGUGGACUGGAGAAUCUAUUCCAGUAUUUACUAAUGACUCAUUCAUGAUGGGAGGAUUUACAGAUACCCAUAUUACUCCCAAUCAUGUGACUAGAUUUAAUUAUUCUGGCUACAGUGCCCAAUUACCUUUGUGUUGGUCACACGAUAAACAUGCUGGCUGUCUGAAAGUAUCAUUCGAAGAAAAGACAGCGAUUGGUAGACCUAGACUGACAAAUAAUUCUUUUUAUGGGGACUUAAGACCUUAUACUAGAUCAGUAAUUAAGAUGGGACUUUCCCAUAACAAGCCAGUCAUUUCUGCAAAACCUCCACGGAUGCCCCACUGUCCAAAUAGUUCUACAAUUGAGAUUGGCACCUUUCCUAGAUGGAUGGAUUGUGUAAAUACCUUUCCUGUACAACAUAAGGUGUCUAAAGAUAGUGGGUAUAUUUUAGACUGGUCUCCAAAAAUUGAUAAAAGACAAUUACGAAGAAAUUCUGCUAUGACACCUGCAGGAUUUGUUAUUAAUAUUUUGACUUAUAGUAAAGGAGGUGUUCAGAAAGAUGUUUGGCGUUUAAUUGCUGCCUCAGAAUUCUUACAUUUUACAGAAAAACCUUUACCAAAAUUUGUUGGCAAGAACUGUAAAGAGGGAUCUUGCUAUGGCUUACGAGCCUGUGUCCAAUCUCCUUAUGUUUUAAUUAUUGGAAAUGUAAAAGUUAAAUGGAUAGAUGACAGAUAUAUUGUUACUUGUAAUAAAUGCAACCUAACCAAUUGUAUUACUAGGUAUAAUGGAGGAAAAGGAGUGCUGAUACUUCAUCAGCCCUCUUUUGUUUUAUUACCUGCUAAUAUUUCAGAGCCAUGGUAUGCUGAUACUGGUUUACAAGUCUUGCAGCAAAUUCAUGCCCAGUUAGCAAGACCAAAACGUGCUAUUGGAGUUAUAAUUGUUGGUGUUUUGGCACUAGUCUCCUUUAUUGCCUCAACUGUCUCUGCAUCUCUGACAUUGUCUCAAAAUAUUCAGCAUGCGAAAUUUCUUAAUAAUUUAGCUCAAAAUACUUCCAAGGCUCUGCAUAAUCAAGUAAAUAUUGAUGAAAGGAUUGAGACUAAAUUAAACGCCUUAGAGGCGACUGUUAUAGACAUAGGUAAUGAACUUUCAGCCUUAAAAUUUAAGGAAAGGCUUAAAUGCCAUGCCAAUUAUAAGUAUGUUUGUGUUACAGCUGCCAAGUACAAUGCUUCUCUCUGGGAUUGGGAGAAGGUUAAAAACCAUUUAUUAGGUAUUUGGCAAAAUAGUAAUAAUAGCUUGGAUAUUCUGGAACUUCAUCACCAUAUCCAAGACAUUCAAAAUAAUAGAGCUGAUUUUUCUGAUCCUUCUUCUCUGGCAAACCAAAUAUUGAAGGAGUUAAAUGGAUUCAACCCUGGAAAUAUUCUUAAACACUCGGCCUGGUACAUUAUUGGAUUAUUCUCUUUGCUGUUAAUUCUCUUUUGUGUUAUAAUUAUAGGAUGGCGAGUCUUCGGAACAAGAAUACAGAAACUCCAAAGAGUGAACCGCCGCCUCAUUUUUAAGAAUAAAAAGGGGGAAUAUGUGGGAAGCCAUCCUGACACGUGACUGGGCGACUCCCGUUAAGGGUCUGAGGCUUCUGGCUGUGUCGGAAUUUUCCCGGCCCUUUCCUGAUGAGAGAGCCCGUCCAUGUGGGGGUGUGACUGACCACUGACCCCGGGGGCCCAAUCACUGACCCUGACCUUGGAGUGCAGUCCCCCCUCAACCUUCAUUGGAUGGAAUUAUCCCCUGAAUUUCUUGUUCCCCAAUAAAAGGCUACUCCCUGGCGUGUUCACUCUCUCUCUCUCUCUCCUGCUAGCCCUGAGUAAUCCUUGCUGCCCUGCUGGGCGGUUAGAGGUUGGAGCCAGAGAGGGGAGCCGUCUCGGACCUGG
rnacentral:lncRNA from 1 species